GUGGAAGGGCCGUCGCUAAUCGGAUAAAAGGUACUCCGGGGAUAACAGGCUUAUCUCCCCCAAGAGCUCAUAUCGACGGGGAGGUUUGGCACCUCGAUGUCGGCUCGUCGCAUCCUGGGGCUGGAGAAGGUCCCAAGGGUUGGGCUGUUCGCCCAUUAAAGUGGCACGCGAGCUGGGUUUAGAACGUCGUGAGACAGUUCGGUCCCUAUCCUCUAUGGUCGUAGGAAAUUUGAGGGAAUCUGCUUCUAGUACGAGAGGACCGAAGUGGACGAACCUCUAGUGUACCUGUUGUUGCAUCAGCAGCAUUGCAGGGUAGCUACGUUCGGCAGGGAUAAGCGCUGAAAGCAUAUAAGCGCGAAACCCAUCCCAAGAUAAGAUUUCCCUUCCCACCUCGGUGGGACUGAAGACUUCCAGUAGAAUACUGGUUUGAUAGGUCACAGAUGUAAGUGCAGUAAUGUACUCAGUCGAGUGAUACUAAUUAGUCGUGAGACUUAAUCAA
rnacentral:rRNA from 1 species